AGAGGAACAUCAGGGACUAUCUGGCAAUGAUCCACUUUAUGGAACAACUAGAAGAGUUAGAAAGGCAACAUCGCGUCCUCUGCACCGAACGGUUGCUGACUCCUUACACACCAAAAGAGCGACUGUUACGGGG